ACUUUUACAACUGAUCUUCAGCAGAUAGAGAUCCACUCCCCUGGAGAAAAUGGCUGCUUUGAAGGGUGGGCUCUGUGACAUUUUACCAUUCUGAGUCCUCUCUCCUCCCCACAGAACUGACAAUCCUAAUUUUAGGGGAUGUACUAGAUGAAGAUUCCAUUACCUACUAACUGGAGGACUCAGCUGAUCUAGCUAUGCUGAUCCAUACCUCAUAGAGAGGCUGUCCUUGAAUCCAAUCUGGAAACUGCCGAUGGUUCAGAAUGUUAACAAGAGAAUCUCCAGUUGUAUGGAAACUUGGAACUGCAGUCAACUUCAUUCUGGACUGGUGCUUCAUAUAAUUAUUCAAAUUUGGAUGGUAACAUCUGAGGAAGAUUCUCCAAUCAGAACUUGGGAAUCAAAAUGUUGACCAGAUGUUGACCAGAUCUGUUAUCAAUCUAUGCUGACAUCCAUUGGAGGAUUGGAAGAAGACGACGCUGCCUCACAGCUGGGAUGUUUUCUUGCCACAGGACUUAUAGCUGAUGCUUUAUUCUUAUGGGAAAUAAUUAGUUGUGAAACAGUCUGUAUUUGUACCUUAUUCGGAAGAUAUAUUCUACUGUAAUUGUCUGUAAGUAACAUUCUGUUGUUUUGUGUAGCUAUAGUCUCUUGUAUAUACAUUGGAAAUACUGAUAUUGUAGAUAAUAUAUAAUCUUUGUGCUAUACAGUUAACUCUAGUAGGAUGGUUGGGAAUGUGGUAGACCCUGUAUUGUCAGGGGCUAACCAAUAGAAAUGCAGCUAUCUUAAAAGAGCUACAUUGGCUGCCACUUGGUUUCUGAGUUCAAUUCUGGUUGUUAGGCUUAUAACCUAUAAAAUCCUUCAUAGCCUAGGAACUGCAUAUUUUAAGGAGCAUCUCAUGCACCAGGUAAAGUCCUUCAGCUGUCACCUGUGUCUUUAUCAUAACUGUUAUACAUGGUAAACAAUGUACUUGUAUACUGCAGCCCCAAAUGUCCCCUGAAAUGCUGCUUCUUGAGACUCUCAGAAACAAUCUUUUGGGAGCUGUUUUUGGCUUAAUUUUAAAGCUGUCUAAGCUAGCAGCCAUCAAUUCAUCUUGUAGAAAUGAAUUUUAUGUUAAUUAUAUAUUGUGCAAAGAAGUA